GGCGAACGUUGGCGGCGUGCUUAAUACAUGCAAGUCAACUGAAGCAGUUGUAUCAAUAUCGCUGUGUAGGUGGCGCACGGGUUAGUAACACGUUGGUUAUCUUCCUUCUGUUCUUGCUUAACUCCUGGAAACCGGGGCUAAUAGCAGAUGAUGCAUCGUCUCGACAUCUAGUCAGUUGUUAAAUCUAUGUCUCCUUAUGAUGAGCCUGCGUCUGAUUAGCUAGUUGUCGGGGUAACGGCCCACCAAGGCAACGAUCAGUAGCUGGUUUGAGAGGAUGAUCAGCAAAAGUGGAAGUGAGAAAAGGACCAGACUACGACGGGAGGCAGAAGAAAGGAAUAUUGAUGAAAGGGAGAAAAAAUGAAGCAGCAAAGCAGCGAGAGGGACGAAGGGCUGUAGCUUGUAAAACGAGGUAGAGAGAGAAAAAAAACCCAAUCUAUGGGACAUGAUGGUAACUAAAAAGUAAGCCCCGGCUAACUACGUG
rnacentral:rRNA from 1 species